AAUCCAUAGGUUAAUGAGGCGAACCGGGGGAACUGAAACAUCUAAGUACCCCGAGGAAAAGAAAUCAACCGAGAUUCCCCCAGUAGCGGCGAGCGAACGGGGAGGAGCCCAGAGCCUGAAUCAGCAUGUGUGUUAGUGGAAGCGUCUGGAAAGGCGCGCGAUACAGGGUGACAGCCCCGUACACAAAAGCGCAUGUGCUGUGAGCUCGAUGAGUAGGGCGGGACACGUGGUAUCCUGUCUGAAUAUGGGGGGACCAUCCUCCAAGGCUAAAUACUCCUGACUGACCGAUAGUGAACCAGUACCGUGAGGGAAAGGCGAAAAGAACCCCGGCGAGGGGAGUGAAAAAGAACCUGAAACCGUGUACGUACAAGCAGUGGGAGCACCCUUCGGGGUGUGACUGCGUACCUUUUGUAUAAUGGGUCAGCGACUUAUAUUCUGUAGCAAGGUUAACCGAAUAGGGGAGCCGGAGGGAAACCGAGUCUUAAUUGGGCGUUAAGUUGCAGGGUAUAGACCCGAAACCCGGUGAUCUAGCCAUGGGCAGGUUGAAGGUUGGGUAACACUAACUGGAGGACCGAACCGACUAAUGUUGAAAAAUUAGCGGAUGACCUGUGGCUGGGGGUGAAAGGCCAAUCAAACCGGGAGAUAGCUGGUUCUCCCCGAAAGCUAUUUAGGUAGCGCCUCGUGAAUUCAUCUCCGGGGGUAGAGCACUGUUUCGGCUAGGGGGCCAUCCCGGCUUACCAACCCGAUGCAAACUGCGAAUACCGGAGAAUGUUAUCACGGGAGACACACGGCGGGUGCUAACGUCCGUCGUGAAGAGGGAAACAACCCAGACCGCCAGCUAAGGUCCCAAAGUCAUGGUUAAGUGGGAAACGAUGUGGGAAGGCCCAGACAGCCAGGAUGUUGGCUUAGAAGCAGCCAUCAUUUAAAGAAAGCGUAAUAGCUCACUGGUCGAGUCGGCCUGCGCGGAAGAUGUAACGGGGCUAAACCAUGCACCGAAGCUGCGGCAGCGAACGUAUCACCCAAGACAACUUUACGGAGUUGACGAUUGACGGAGCGAAGCGACGUCAAAGCGUUCAUUAAAGUCGAGUUGGCUUAGGGAUACGUUCGUUGGGUAGGGGAGCGUUCUGUAAGCCUGUGAAGGUGUGUCGUGAGGCAUGCUGGAGGUAUCAGAAGUGCGAAUGCUGACAUAAGUAACGAUAAAGCGGGUGAAAAGCCCGCUCGCCGGAAGACCAAGGGUUCCUGUCCAACGUUAAUCGGGGCAGGGUGAGUCGACCCCUAAGGCGAGGCCGAAAGGCGUAGUCGAUGGGAAACGGGUUAAUAUUCCCGUACUUGGUGUUACUGCGAAGGGGGGACGGAGAAGGCUAUGUUGGCCGGGCGACGGUUGUCCCGGUUUAAGCGUGUAGGUGUGUGUUCCAGGUAAAUCCGGUUCACUUUAACACUGAGGCGUGACGACGAGGCACUACGGUGCUGAAGCAACAAAUGCCCUGCU
rnacentral:rRNA from 1 species